rnacentral:rRNA from 1 species
UACGUAGGGAGCAAGCGUUUGUCCGGAAUCAUUGGGCGAAAGCGCGCGUAGGCGGCCUCGUAAGUCCGUUGUGAAAGUCAAAGGCUCAACCUUUGAAAGCCGAUGGAUACUGUGAGGCUAGAGUCCGGAAGAGGCGAGUGGAAUUCCUGGUGUAGCGGUGGAAUGCGCAGAUAUCAGGAGGAACACCAAUAGCGAAGGCAGCUCGCUGGGACGGUACUGACGCUAAGGCGCGAAAGCGUGGGGAGCGAACAGG